rnacentral:misc_RNA from 1 species
GAUGAAGAACGUAGUGAAAUGCGAUAAGUAAUGUGAAUUGCAGAAUUCAGUGAAUCAUCGAAUCUUCGAACGCACAUUGCGCCCGCCAGCAUUCUGGCGGGCAUGCCUGUUCGAGCGUCAUUUCAACCCUCGAGCCCCCCCGGGGGCCUCGGUGUUGGGGGACGGCACACCAGCCGCCCCCGAAAUGCAGUGGCGACCCCGCCGCAGCCUCCCCUGCGUAGUAGCACACACCUCGCACCGGAGCGCGGAGGCGGUCACGCCGUAAAACGCCCAACUUUCUUAGAGUUGACCUCGGAUCAGGUAGGAAUACCCGCUGAACUUAAGCAUAUCAAUAAGCGGAGGA